UCGUGUGGCCUCGUGAUUAGAGCGUCCGCCUCAGAUGCGGGAGGUUGUGUGUUCGAACCCCAGCCAUGUCAU